UACGUAGGGCGCAAGCGUUGUCCGGAAUUAUUGGGCGUAAAGAGCUCGUAGGCGGCCUGUUGCGUCCGCUGUGAAAUCCCGGGGCUCAACCCCGGGCCUGCAGUGGAUACGGGCUGGCUAGAGGCAGGCAGGGGAGAACGGAAUUCCUGGUGUGGCGGUGAAAUGCGCAGAUAUCAGGAGGAACACCGGUGGCGAAGGCGGUUCUCUGGGCCUGUACUGACGCUGAGGAGCGAAAGCGUGGGGAGCGAACAGG
rnacentral:rRNA from 1 species